rnacentral:lncRNA from 1 species
UUGGUCAAAAAAAUCGGUGGGGAAAAAAUAAAAGGUUAAUUUCAUACAGAUCUUUCUAGAUAUAGUGAAUUGCAAAUAUAUCUCUACAAAGUUCGACUUUCAUAUGUUGUCUCUACAAAAGUCCUAAUGUUUUCAAAUAUAUCCCUCUGAUUUUUUACCGUUAAAGUGCUGUUUAUUUUAUAGAGAAAAGAUCUUUUUACCGUUACAAAUAUAUCCCUUCAAAAAUCUCAACUGUUAAUUGAAGAGGAAUAAAAAGAUCAAUUCAUCUCAUUAAUUAACUAGGAUUAAAUAUUUAUCUAUGGUUAACUAAUUUUUUCUAAUGGCUCCUAACGGUGGGGACAUGUUUAAAAAUAUUAGAACUUUCGUAGAUACCAUAUAUGAAAGUUGAAUUUUAUAAAAAUGUAUUUAUAAAUUUUUAUAUUUGGAGGGAUCUAUUUGAAAUUAAUCGAAAAAUAAAAUAAGAUGAGAAAUAUAUUU